rnacentral:rRNA from 1 species
UUUAUGGAGAGUUUGAUCCUGGCUCAGGAUGAACGCUGGCGGCGUGCCUAAUACAUGCAAGUCGAGCGAACGGACGAGAAGCUUGCUUCUCUGAUGUUAGCGGCGGACGGGUGAGUAACACGUGGAUAACCUACCUAUAAGACUGGGAUAACUUCGGGAAACCGGAGCUAAUACCGGAUAAUAUUUUGAACCGCAUGGUUCAAAAGUGAAAGACGGUCUUGCUGUCACUUAUAGAUGGAUCCGCGCUGCAUUAGCUAGUUGGUAAGGUAACGGCUUACCAAGGCAACGAUGCAUAGCCGACCUGAGAGGGUGAUCGGCCACACUGGAACUGAGACACGGUCCAGACUCCUACGGGAGGCAGCAGUAGGGAAUCUUCCGCAAUGGGCGAAAGCCUGACGGAGCAACGCCGCGUGAGUGAUGAAGGUCUUCGGAUCGUAAAACUCUGUUAUUAGGGAAGAACAUAUGUGUAAGUAACUGUGCACAUCUUGACGGUACCUAAUCAGAAAGCCACGGCUAACUACGUGCCAGCAGCCGCGGUAAUACGUAGGUGGCAAGCGUUAUCCGGAAUUAUUGGGCGUAAAGCGCGCGUAGGCGGUUUUUUAAGUCUGAUGUGAAAGCCCACGGCUCAACCGUGGAGGGUCAUUGGAAACUGGAAAACUUGAGUGCAGAAGAGGAAAGUGGAAUUCCAUGUGUAGCGGUGAAAUGCGCAGAGAUAUGGAGGAACACCAGUGGCGAAGGCGACUUUCUGGUCUGUAACUGACGCUGAUGUGCGAAAGCGUGGGGAUCAAACAGGAUUAGAUACCCUGGUAGUCCACGCCGUAAACGAUGAGUGCUAAGUGUUAGGGNNNUNUCNCGCCCCUUAGUGCUGCAGCUAACGCAUUAAGCACUCCGCCUGGGGAGUACGACCGCAAGGUUGAAACUCAAAGGAAUUGACGGGGACCCGCACAAGCGGUGGAGCAUGUGGUUUAAUUCGAAGCAACGCGAAGAACCUUACCAAAUCUUGACAUCCUUUGACAACUCUAGAGAUAGAGCCUUCCCCUUCGGGGGACAAAGUGACAGGUGGUGCAUGGUUGUCGUCAGCUCGUGUCGUGAGAUGUUGGGUUAAGUCCCGCAACGAGCGCAACCCUUAAGCUUAGUUGCCAUCAUUAAGUUGGGCACUCUAAGUUGACUGCCGGUGACAAACCGGAGGAAGGUGGGGAUGACGUCAAAUCAUCAUGCCCCUUAUGAUUUGGGCUACACACGUGCUACAAUGGACAAUACAAAGGGCAGCGAAACCGCGAGGUCAAGCAAAUCCCAUAAAGUUGUUCUCAGUUCGGAUUGUAGUCUGCAACUCGACUACAUGAAGCUGGAAUCGCUAGUAAUCGUAGAUCAGCAUGCUACGGUGAAUACGUUCCCGGGUCUUGUACACACCGCCCGUCACACCACGAGAGUUUGUAACACCCGAAGCCGGUGGAGUAACCUUUUAGGAGCUAGCCGUCGAAGGUGGGACAAAUGAUUGGGGUGAAGUCGUAACAAGGUAGCCGUAUCGGAAGGUGCGGCUGGAUCACCUCCUUU